rnacentral:lncRNA from 1 species
AAUACUCAAUUUGUUUUGAUAAAAAAUAAAAUAAGAAUAAAAAAAUCUAAUCACCUAAUAAAAAUAAUGAUAAUAAUAAAAAAAACAAAUGACAUGAUAUUGUUAUUUUUUUGUUUGAAACUUUUUAUAAAAUAAUUAAAUCUAAAAACUUAAAUCGAUAAUAAUAAAAAAAACAAAUGAAAAUUAUUAUUAUGUCAUUUUUAAUCAAGGAAAAAAACUCUUACCUUUUUUAUUUAUCUAGUAGUAAAAAAGAAGAAGUGAUAAUAGAAAUAUAAAAAAAAGGCAAAUGGGCCUAGGGUGUUCAUGCCCAAAAUGGAGGGUUCGGUGGAUCAAAAGCAUUCAGGCCUAUGAUAAGGCCCAAUUGACUUUCCCUAAGGGAGAACAAAAAAUAUAUAAAAAAAUAGUAUUAUCAAUGCAUACGAUUUCCCACUCUAUAUCAUCUAUCAUCAUCUCAACUCCUCCUUCU